rnacentral:rRNA from 1 species
UGCGCAGGUGGUUUAUCGCGCCAGAUGUGAAAUCCCCGGGCUUAACCUGGGAAUGGCAUAUGGGACGGAUAGGCUAGAGUAUGGUAGAGGGGGGUAGAAUUCCAUGUGUAGCAGUGAAAUGCGUAGAGAUGUGGAGGAAUACCGAUGGCGAAGGCAGCCCCCUGGACUAAUACUGACACUGAGGCACGAAAGCGUGGGGAGCAAACAGGAUUAGAUACCCUGGUAGUCCACGCCCUAAACGAUGUCUACUAGUUGUUGGGAGAAUAAAAUCUUUUAGUAACGAAGCUAACGCGAGAAGUAGACCGCCUGGGGAGUACGGUCGCAAGAUUAAA